GCCUGGGUGGCUCAGUUGGUUGAGCAUCUGACUCCGGCUCAGGUCAUGAUCUCACGGUUUGUGGGUUCGAGCCCCGCGUCGGGCU